rnacentral:ncRNA from 1 species
CAAGCGUUCAUAGCGACGUUGCUUUUUGAUCUUCGAUGUCGGCUCUUCCUAUCAUUGAGACGCAGAAGUCUCAAAGUGUCGGAUUGUUCACCCGCCAAUAGGGAACGUGAGCUGGGUUUAGACCGUCGUGAGACAGGUUAGUUUUACCCUACUGACAAAGUAGAUACUGCGACAGUAGUCGAAGUUAGUACGAGAGGAACACUUCGUCCAGAUACUUGGUUAAUGCCGUUGUCUGAAAAGACAGUACGGCGAAGCUACCAUCUGCUGGAUUACGGCUGAACGCCUCUAAGCCGGAAUCCAUGCUGGAUAAGCAGUGUUGUACACCGUGCUCAAUGCUACAAGAAAAAGGCUAGGUCAGGCUUCGGCCUGACCAAAAUUCAAGCUGCUAUACCUCUGGCUGCAUUGACUUGUGGUCAGAGUGUAUGGUGAUCAUAGCAAUUGCAAGUAUUGGGCUCGAUAAAUCCUUUGAAGACGACUUAAUUGCAUCCGGGUAUUGUAAGUGUUGAGAGUAGGCUUAGUCUUACGAUCCACUGAGAUUCAUCCCGUGUUGCGCCGAUUUGU